UCUCUCUCUCCUCAGAAAACCUCUCUCUCUCUCCCUCUCUCUCUCUCUCUCUCUCUCUCUCUCUCUCUCUCUCCUCUGCGUAUUACUGUUGCCGACGACGCAGGAGUACUUUCCGGCCACCAUUUUUAGCCACGCGCCGGACCGUUGGAUUCAGAGGCCUCCGAACUAUCGACCCACGCGGGAAUCUAGAGCUCACUCGCCGAUUAAACGCCUCAACCACUCGAUUUAAGUUCGGCCACCCCGCGACUUCAAAGUUGCGAUUCGGCCACCUCGGGCAUCCGUUUGCCGAUCCGUCACCACCAUCGUGCUCCUCGUGUUGUGGGCUUCAAAACCCAAUAACUUUUUCCUACAUCUACCAUAGUUGGGUGGUGGGCCCACCACGAGCCACCGCGAUCCACCGUAGACCGACGGUCGAAACUUAGUGUUCGAGGUUCCGAAGUACGUUUUGAGUCUCAGAAAAUCAUCGUUUGACUUGUUGUGGAACCCGAUCAUUUUGGAUUUGUAUGGAUUUGAUUGAUUGACUCUUGGUGAGCCGUUUUAAAAUAAGCUAAGGACCUAAGGUGUGGCUUUAGCUGUUGAGCAACUUGUGGAGCACGGACUCAGUAGCAAUGCAAUAGUGGUUUAGAGUUUUCAUAUGGCUGCCUUAAAUUUAAAGUAUUCAUACGUGUAAUAAUUUCUUCUAAUAAGUUUAUAUAAAAGAUUUAAAUUUUUCUGUAUUUCUUCGUAUCAUUUUAUUUAAUUCUUUUGGUCAAGUGCCUUACAUACUCGUAAACCCUAGAAUUACGAGUAUGUGGCAGACGUACCCUACCUUAGGGACGUUACAAAUGGUAUCAGAGCUUUGAGUUUGUAGAUGUCGUAUACUCGUUAUGUUAUUAGAUUUUGGGAUCUGAAAUGCUACUGAGUUCCGCCACAAGACAAGCCACACGUUAAUGGUUAGUAUAAUUUAUCCAUAUUUUAGUUAAUGUAUGUUAAUGAUGUUGUAUAAUUGUAUUAGAAACUCAUUGUGUGUUUGAGUUUCCAUGAUAUAAGUAUGAGUUUGGAUUAAAUGAAUAUUCUCAUGCACGGUAGAGAAAUUGAAGUUUGUUAUUUAUCUGAAUGCAUGCCUUUAUUAUUGAUGUGAUAAAUAAUUGAUGAUUUAUCGAUGUCGAUGUUUGGAUUGUUAAUUGAUAUUCUCAAGCUUUGAAAGUGAUCUAUCAGUUCAGUUAGUGUGUUAAGGGUUAAUAUGUCAGGUUAGUGUUUUGGAGAGCAAAGUUUUAGGUUGUUGCUGAGAGCACACACAAUAAGAGACUUUAGUGAAACAGUAGUAAUAUAUAGAAGAAAAAAAAAAAAAAAAAACAUAAUCUAUUAAGGAUUGGGGUUUUGGACACGUUCUACCUCGUCAAUCAACUUUUGUUGUUCAACUCUAAGGGUCUCCCCAGUAGUUUGCAGUGUCUGAAAUUUUUCCUUCAUAUCGACUGAGUAGUUAGCAAGAAGUGUAGUUAAAGUCCCAUUCUCCUUAACCAACUUCUCCUUCUCUCGAGUCAAUGCCUUGUUGGCAUUUCUAAUGGUUAUCAUCUCUUGUUUUUGUGUUUCUAUAUACCUUUUCAAGUGGUCAACCUCUUGUUCUCUUGCAAGAACCCGUUGGCCUAGGUUUGAGACCGAUGCUGCCGCCUGAGUGGUAAGAACUAAGGAAUCUUUUACAGCUUGUAGGUCUGACCUAUGGGAUAAAAUUAUUUGGUCUUUAGGUGUGAGUAUGCUUUGACCUAUACUAAUGGCCACCUUUUUAUCGAGCAUAGCUGAAUCCUCCACCGUGACAAGGCCAGUAUCAGAAUAAAAUUUGGGAAGCCAAACUCUGGGAAAUUGAGUAUUUCGUUCUGGGAUGUGUACCGUAGGAUACACCAUUAGCUGUGGUAGGGGUGCAUAAAUUUGUGGUGAAGAUUCGAUAGUGGGAAGAUUUGGCUCAGGUAAAGCUAAAGUUAGGUCUAAGUUCAGCUGAGAUGAUGAGGAUGCCAUGGGUUGCUUAGCUUGAGUAAUGGACGGAAGUAAUAAUUAUUUGGUUUUCAAAAGCUUGAGAUUGAUUGUGUUUUAGUGUGUAUGUGAUGAAUUUUAUUUAUAGAAAAAUGUGUUGAACUGUUGGGUCAUUGGAUCCUUGAAUUUGUUUGUUUUCAAGAUAGAUAUCACAGAUUUUAUCUUGUUCAAUGUGUUACGCUAUCCUCUCUGAUGAUGAAAGUCAAACUUAUUAGAUGUUGUCGACAUGGAAAUCACUUCUAUUGAUUUUGCGAUCCUGAUUUGAACAUGGAAACAAUUUGUAAAUUGUUGAAUGAAUCGAGGUGAUAAAUGUUAUUUACUGAAUUACUCUGUAGUGUGAAUUACUUUCGGCGAUUAAAUUAUAGUAUAUUAGCUGUUUUAUCCCGAAAGUAAGAUAAUGUAUUACUUGUGUGAAUUGAUGACUGAGUAUUAUUGGUAUAGGUGUUGAAAUGAGACAUGUCUAACUUAUUAGACAUGUGAGAAUUAUUCGUUUUCGUAGAUGAAGUGGUGGAUUGGUCAGUCAAUACUUAUCCCAUGUUUUAUUCAAUGAAGGGAUACUAAGCUAAGUGUGUGAAUUUCCGAGUGGCCACGGUUAUUUGCAUUCUAGCAUAGUAUCAAUAUGCCCUUUAUUAUUUUAUACAUUUGGAAACAAUUUUGAUUUUUAAAUGUUUUCUUAGAGAAAAAAUGAGAGUCAGGUUUUUCUGAACUGGUACCUAAUGAAUGGCCUAUCUCACUAUUUCUCAUUCAGGGCAAGAAGUCGGUUUUGACAACGAAAGGGUUUCACAGAGACUUGGUUUUAAAGAAUAAUCUUCAUCGGCUAUAUAAUUGUUUUCUAGUUAUCCAAUUUUUUUUUUAUGCCGAAAAACUUUCUAUUGAACAAACUUGUUGCUCAAUUUAGCAUCUAUUAUCAAGGUAUAACCAGUCAAUUGCAUCUACUUAAAAAAAAAAAAAAAAAAAAAAUUGACUGUAAGACAUGAAGAUCAAGGAUGUUUUCAUGAUGAUGGUCAUUUUCUCUUCUUACGUUAUGUGGUUUGUGUUCAAAAGUAUGGAUGAUGAGGAUUCGUUUGUAUUUUCGUAUACAUUCAUUGUAAUUUAUACUAUUGUUAUAGCUUAUUUCCUUUCUAUCUAUAUUGUAGUCAUCAUGUGAGGCGUUUACACAUCCUCGCCUUUUUAUAUAUGAUAAGGAUUACAAGAAGUCAGGAAUAAGUUUUGUUUUCGGGGUGAAAGUAAGUGUUGUGUAUAAAAUCUUAUGCUGUGAAAUGUUGUUCUGUUUAUUUGUAAUGGUAGUUCUUGUCUCCGAUUAUCAAAUUUUAGUUUGAAAUUUCGAGGACGAAAUUAUUUUAACGGGGGAAGGAUUGUAAUAUCCAACAUUUUCAUAAUACAUUUAUUUAUAAUAAAUCAGAGUUUUAAUACAUAAAAUGUACAACUUUACAAAUUUAAGAAAUAGUAAUGGAAAAAUAGUGUUUAAAAUAUGAUUUUAUGUUUUUAAUGAGAUUAAAGAAAGAGAAACUUGAGUAGUCAAGUAUUGGACCCAAAUGUCAUAUAAUUUUAAUUGGGGAUUUUUAUAAAAAUUAAGAAAGUUUGGCUAAAGGGCUUAUUUGAAAAGAAUUUUAGUAU